GAAAACAUUUCUACAUUUAGUUCUGUGAUUAAAUGUUCAAUAAGAAAAUAUUAGACACUUUUAUAUCUAGUAUCAGAUGCAGAUUAUUGUAGCUAUUAAACUGUAUUAUGUCACAGUUGAGUUCUGGACUCUGAUUGGUCAGAAGAUGUUGAUUAAUUCUUUAUAACAGCAGCUCUGACUGUAGUGCAGGUUUAUAUUAAUGCACUUAUUUGUUUCUAUAGUAACAGCUUGUUUACAAGGACGUGUACAGCAGAUGGGACACAUAAACUGGUUAAAAGGACUGAAGGCAGGCGAGAACCAGCAGAACCAACAGGAGAGAAUGAGAGCUCAUGACUGAUGAUGAAGAUGUUGAAGAGAAUGAUGAAGAUAUUGAUGGUCAGGAGCAGAAUGGUAUUAGUGCAGAUAUCACCUCCCUCUUCAGUUUAUAUAGCUGGUGAGAGGGGUGGGAGAGUGUGGUCUGGGUGUUUAAGUGACCAAAAAUUUCCACUUUGACUGAGAUUAAAAAAAGAAAUCCUCUUUCACAGGAAACCCAACUGUGGUUUUUACCUACAACGAGGAAGAAGUGAAUAUUUAACACCUUGUAAUCAAACACAUCUCACACUAAUCUAUUAAACUCAUCAAAUAAAAUGAAAUUAAAUAAA